GACGGGGCCCGCACAAGCGGUGGAGCACGUGGUUUAAUUCGAUGCAAACCGAAGAACCUUACCUGGGUUUGACAUGUACGUGUUACUGAUCUGAGAGGAGAGGGACCCAUGCUUCGGUAUGGGAGCGUACACAGGUGCUGCAUGGCUGUCGUCAGCUCGUGUCGUGAGAUGUUGGGUUAAGUCCCGUAACGAGCGCAACCCUUGCCUUUAGUUGCCAGCAGUUCGGCUGGGCACUCUAAAGGGACUGCCGGUGUUAAACCGGAGGAAGGUGGGGAUGACGUCAAGUCCUCAUGGCCUUUAUGACCAGGGCUACACACGUACUACAAUGGCCGAUACAAAGGGCAGCGACAUUGCGAGGUGAAGCCAAUCCCGUAAAAUCGGUCUCAGUCCGGAUUGGAGUCUGCAACUCGACUCCAUGAAGUUGGAAUCGCUAGUAAUCGCAGAUCAGCCAAGCUGCGGUGAAUACGUUCCCGGGCCUU
rnacentral:rRNA from 1 species